GGGGCUGUGGCUCAGUGGCAGAGUGUCUGCUUUGGCUGCAGAAGGUCCCAGGUUCAACCCCUGGCAUCUCCA